CUACGGGGGGCAGCAGUGGGGAAUAUUGCACAAUGGAGGAAACUCUGAUGCAGCAACGCCGCGUGGAGGAUGACACUUUUCGGAGCGUAAACUCCUUUUAUAUAGGAAGAUAAUGACGGUACUAUAUGAAUAAGCACCGGCUAACUCCGUGCCAGCAGCCGCGGUAAUACGGAGGGUGCAAGCGUUACUCGGAAUCACUGGGCGUAAAGAGCGUGUAGGCGGGUUAAUAAGUCAGAAGUGAAAUCCUAUGGCUCAACCAUAGAACUGCUUUUGAAACUGUUAACCUAGAAUAUGGGAGAGGUAGAUGGAAUUUCUGGUGUAGGGGUAAAAUCCGUAGAGAUCAGAAGGAAUACCGAUUGCGAAGGCGAUCUACUGGAACAUUAUUAACGCUGAGACACGAAAGCGUGGGGAGCAAACAGGAUUAGAUACCCUCGUAGUC
rnacentral:rRNA from 1 species